rnacentral:rRNA from 1 species
CUUCGGAACUAGAGACCGGCGCACGGGUGCGUAACGCGUAUGCAAUCUACCUUUUACAGAGGGAUAGCCCAGAGAAAUUUGGAUUAAUACCUCAUAGUAUGUGAGAAUCGCAUGGUUUUCACAUUAAAGUUCCAACGGUAAAAGAUGAGCAUGCGUCCCAUUAGCUAGAUGGUAAGGUAACGGCUUACCAUGGCGACGAUGGGUAGGGGUCCUGAGAGGAAGAUCCCCCACAUUGGAACUGAGACACGGUCCAAACUCCUACGGGAGGCAGCAGUGAGGAAUAUUGGUCAAUGGGCGCAAGCCUGAACCAGCCAAGUAGCGUGCAGGAUGACGGCCCUAUGGGUUGUAAACUGCUUUAGUCCGGGGGUAAAGUCGUCCACGUGUGGACGUUUGCAAGUACCGGAAGAAUAAGGACCGGCUAAUUCCGUGCCAGCAGCCGCGGUAAUACGGAAGGUUCGGGCGUUAUCCGGAUUUAUUGGGUUUAAAGGGAGCGUAGGCGGAUUUUUAAGUCAGCUGUGAAAUGUACCGGCUCAACCGGUGAACUGCAGUUGAUACUGGAAGUCUUGAGUGUACACAAGGGUAGUGGAAUUUGUGGUGUAGCGGUGAAAUGCUUAGAUAUCACGAAGAACUCCAAUUGCGAAGGCAGCUACCCGGGGUACUACUGACGCUGAGGCUCGAAAGUGCGGGUAUCAAACAGGAUUAGAUACCCUGGUAGUCCGCACGGUAAACGAUGGAUACUCGUGGUGUGCGAUAUACAGUGCGCCACCAAGCGAAAGCAUUAAGUAUCCCACCUGGAGAGUACGCCGGCAACGGUGAAACUCAAAGGAAUUGACGGGGGCCCGCACAAGCGGAGGAACAUGUGGUUUAAUUCGAUGAUACGCGAGGAACCUUACCCGGGCUUGAAUUGCAUAGACGACAUAAGAGAUUAUGUUUCUUCGGACUAUGUGAAGUGCUGCAUGGUUGUCGUCAGCUCG